CGACUGGGGUGAAGUCGUAACAAGGUAGCCGUAGGGGAACCUGCGGCUGGAUCACCUCCUUUCUAAGGAUGGUUCUUCAGAAGCUUGCUUCUAUCGAACCGUUUUAGAAACAUCAGUGGCCAACAGAUCGCCAGAUCGUUGAGCUGCAUUGGCGGGAUUUCGCCGUCUUCGUUUCUCUUUCUUCGCGGACGAACACGCGCUGGGGCUGCAGGCUUGCAGAUCCCUGGUCCUUGACUGGAUAUGCGUUAGGGGCUUGUAGCUCAGUUGGUUAGAGCGCGCGCUUGAUAAGCGUGAGGUCGGAAGUUCAAGUCUUCCCAGGCCCACCACUUUCAUCGAGCGAGCAUUCGUCUUCUGGUUACGGGGCCAUAGCUCAGCUGGGAGAGCGCGUGCUUUGCAAGCAUGAGGUCGUCGGUUCGAUCCCGUCUGGCUCCACCAGAUGGUUUGAUCGCCGAGAUCUUGUACCGUCGUCCGCGAAACAUCACUUCGCACUUGCUAGUCCGGAUGGACAGUGAGCUGCGUGAUUUCUGACAUCGUAAAGAGGAGAUCGAUCCGAGUUGGAUCGUGCGGAGAAUAUCCGCGCGAGACUUCAUUAUCUCCGGAUCAUUUCGGCGCUCGCGCGCCUUUCAGUGUGGCUCACAAGGCUGCGUCUGGAAGACAUGCGAGUUGUAAAUGAUCCUUUUAGCGAAGCUUGACCGCCUCGCUAUCGGAACGAUCUUACGAAGCAAGCUGGUCUUUCUAGUCAAUGUCCGGCCGUACGUAGCGUUCAUCGAGGGCGCGUGCCCUAGAGAUUUCGGUCUCUUGGCAAUCGUACGGACAACAUUCUGCCGAGUGUGUGGACAUUGAUAAUGAGAGCAAUCAAGUGCCUUAAGGGUGUUCGGUG
rnacentral:misc_RNA from 1 species